AUGGCCUCAGGAGUGCAAGUUAGUGAUGAUGUUGCAUUUUUUAUGACAUGAAAGUUUGGAAAUGCUCCACACCAGAAGAAAUCAAGAAAAGGAAGAAGGCUGUCAUUUUUAUUUUUAUUUUUUUUUGUUUCAGUGCAGGCAAAAAGUGCUUCAUGGUAGAAGAAGGCACAGAGAUCUUGGUGGAGAUGUUGGCGUAACCACAACUGGUCCUUUCAAACAUUUUGUGGGAAUGCUUCCUGAAAACGAUUGCUGCUAUGCUUUGUAUGAUGCACACUUUGAAACUAAGGAAUCCAGAAAAGAAGAGUUGAUGGGUUUUUGUGGGGUUUUUAAAAUUUUUUUUGUGUGUGUGGGCACCCAACUAGAACCUAUGAAAAGUAAACUGAGCUAUGCAAGCUCCAAAGAUGCAAUCUAAAAGGAAUUUUAAGGCAUAAACAUGAAUGGGCCAGAAGAUCUCAAUCGGGCUUGUAUUGCUGAAAAGCUAGGUGGGUCCUUAAUUGCAACCUUUGAAGGAUGCCCUGUGUAG
rnacentral:lncRNA from 1 species